UGGUUCAGUGGUAGAAUGCUCGCCUUCAAAGUGGGAGACCCAGGUUCAGUUCCUGA
rnacentral:tRNA from 1 species